rnacentral:lncRNA from 1 species
GGACGAGUUUUCCUUGAUUCUGAGGUUGUGAGACAGCGGCUCGUCGAAGUACUAAGUCCCCCGCUCUGAAGGCCUUGCUCUUAACCCAGGAGUUGUAGUAGCGGGCCACUUUCUGCUUGUAGGUAGCCAUCCAAACUUGAGCUGUCUCCCGCUUUUCUUCUAAUAAGUCGAGGUUGGCUUUGAGAUCCUGCGAGUUGCACUGCUCAUCGAAUGCC